AACGAACGCUGGCGGCGUGCCUAACACAUGCAAGUCGAGCGCGAAAAGAGCAAUCUGAGUAGAGCGGCGCACGGGUGCGUAACACGUGGGUAAUCUGCCUCGAGGUCUGGGAUAACCUUCCGAAAGGUUGGCUAAUACCAGUUAAGCUCACGGUGACUUCGGUCGCUGAGAGAAAAGGGGCCCGGAAACGGGUACGUCGCCACGAGAUGAGCCCGCCGGCCCACUCAGCUAGU
rnacentral:rRNA from 1 species